rnacentral:lncRNA from 1 species
CAGGAUUCAGUAUCACCCCGGUAAGGCUAAUGUGGUUGCAGAUGCUCUUAGCCGGAAGAGUUCAGGGAGUGUAGCUGCCUUGGUUACACAACCUCAACUCAUCUCGGAUAUGGAACGUGUGGGUUUGGAGCUAUAUGCUAGAGGUUCUGAUGGGUUGGUAGCAAGUAUGAGGGUGGAACCUUCUCUUAUUUUGCGUAUCAAAGAAGCACAAAAGGAGGAUGGAGAGUUGUGGGCUGUAGCGCAGAAUAUGGAUGAGGGUAGGCAGCCAGAG